rnacentral:lncRNA from 1 species
AGCCUUAAAAAUGCUUCAAAAUAUUUUCAUUUUAAAUAUCUACAAACAUAUUUUUAGCUAGUGAAUUGUAUUAUUACAGUGACCAAUCUCGAGUGAAAUAUAACAUAUUCCUACCUUUAUAGAACGAACAGGAACAACUUGAGUCUGUCGGUCGGCCAGAUCCAAAACCCUGGCCUGCGAAGUGCGAACCAUAGUGGGUUUAACUGGAGAGGGGAAAUAAAAUAAUUCUAGAUUUUUUUGUCAUGAAUUGUGGGCUCGAUUGGAUCCAAUCCAGAUUAAACCAUGGUCUAAUCUAACCGAACGAGGCUUACCUGGUGGCUGGUGCUUGGCUUCCUGGAGACCAGGAUGAAGCAAAAUUCAGAUCUGCCACUGGACGCAGCGCUGUUCCGCUUGUCUCCGUGCUGCUCAGCUUCGACGCUUCCUGCUCGUUUCCACUUCGGUAGUUCCUGUUUUCGUCUCCACUU